rnacentral:lncRNA from 1 species
AUGCUUCACACACACACACACACACACACACACACACACACACACACACACACACACACACACACACACACACACACACACACACACACACACACACACACAGUGGCGAACUUAGCCCUUUGGGGGCUCCAGGCGAACAGUCAUUUGGGGGCCCCUGCAUCUACCGGUCUCUUUGUUGACACACGUCAUUAGCAUCGCUGCUGGCUGAGCCAGAGCCACUUGGAAUGAAAGGAGCAGUAACGUGACAGCAAACGACGUUGACGGCUGCUCUUGAUCCGCCGACGGUCCCGCUGCCACUGCGGUGGCUGUAAAACAGCUGGAUAGCUUUGGCAGCUUUGAAAGAAAGUCCUGCCUUUGGUCUUUCUUUUUAUGUGACCCGCUUUCGUACGAUCGCUUCAUGUUUCACUCGAUUUAUGUCUCACUCGAUUUCUCUCUCUCUCUCUCUUACCGCUUACUGUUUUGAACUUGACAUAAUUUCCCCAUACGCAUGAUGAGCGUGAUGCGCGUAACAUGGAAUAGUCCAUGUAGUGCAGACUGAAGGGGGGUGCACACGGAAAGAUCGUCAAAACAUGAGUAAUAAUUAGACAUCCCGAUGCUACUAUUGUGAAGAGAUUUUUAUAAAAAUAAUAAAUAUGGGGACAAAAUAUAUGCAUUGGGGCCCUCUUGACCAGAUCAAUAUUGUAAAUAAGAAACUGGUCUUAAUGUUUUAUCGGGAAAAAUAAAGGUAAAAAAAAAAAAAAAUUUGGGGGCCCCAAAAACCUUCUAUGGGGCCCGGGGCUCCAGGCAAAUGCCUGGUUUGCCUAAUAGUACGGCCCGCCACUGCACACACACACACACACACACACACACACACAGCUAGCGUGUCUCUCUUCCACAUGCUAGUCUUCAUGAUUGGUGAAGCAUGUCAGCCAUGAUGAAGGCUGAGUCGAAUCAUGGGACAUUCAAACUGUCUGGUCCAUUCUAGUGUUGUCUGUACAAGGCACCAGAUCUCCCACUCCCUCCCGCUUUGGGACAAUGAGGGGGACGAUAGGAC